AACGCGAAGAACCUUACCUACCCUUGACAUCCUGCGAAUCCCGAUGAGAGUUGGGAGUGCCGAAAGGAGCGCAGAGACAGGUGCUGCAUGGCUGUCGUCAGCUCGUGUUGUGAGAUGUUGGGUUAAGUCCCGUAACGAGCGCAACCCUUGUCCUUAGUUGCCAGCAUUUAGUUGGGGACUCUAAGGAGACUGCCGGUGAGGAACCGGAGGAAGGCGGGGACGACGUCAAGUCAUCAUGGCCUUUAUGGGUAGGGCUACACACGUGCUACAAUGGGACGUACAGAGGGUCGCGAACCCGCGAGGGGGAGCCAAUCCCGCAAAGCGUCUCGUAGUCCGGAUUGGAGUCUGCAACUCGACUCCAUGAAGUUGGAAUCGCUAGUAAUCGCGAAUCAGCAUUGUCGCGGUGAAUACGUUCCCGGGCCUUGUACACACCGAGACGUA
rnacentral:rRNA from 1 species